UACGUAGGGGGCAAGCGUUGUCCGGAAUCAUUGGGCGUAAAGCGCGCGUAGGCGGCCCUGUAAGUCCGUUGUGAAAGUCAAAGGCUCAACCUUUGAAAGCCGAUGGAUACUGCAGGGCUAGAGUCCGGAAGAGGCGAGUGGAAUUCCUGGUGUAGCGGCGGAAUGCGCAGAUAUCAGGAGGAACACCAAUGGCGAAGGCAGCUCACUGGGACGAUACUGACGCUGAGACGCGAAAGCGUGGGGAGCAAACAGG
rnacentral:rRNA from 1 species